UACCACUCUAACAUUUCAGGCUCCACACGCAGUAUGAAGCCCAAUGCAAGACUCAAACCCAUGACCCCAAGAUCAAGACCUGAGCUGAGAUCAAGUGUUGGGCGCUCAACUGAUUGAGCCACUCAGGUAAUGGCCUACAAACCACAUGGAUGCAUACGAGGACGGCUGCCUGGAGACCAGGGUCGGUGCCCAUCACAACAGAAUGUGUGGCAUCCCCAAAUACUGUCCAUCAAUGUGAAGACACUCAAACUGUCCCCUAGCUGGCUCAAAAAUUAAUUCUCUGUCCCUCACGUCUUCUAAUUCCAACGUGCAGACGGGGGCAGGAAAACAGUAAGCCUCCAUAUAACGCAGAGUUGAACAGGUACAAAUGUGACAACUGACAUACUUUGACAGCUCCAGAACUCCAACUCUCUUUACCCCAUGAUCAUUUUCUUUUCAGGUUUCGGUUCAACGCUAGGCCUAUGUUGAUGGUUGAGUUAUGAACUCCAAAAAGAGAGGCUGGUGGUGGAAACGCAAAGAGAUGCCUCAUGAGAGCCGCACUACUGGGCACUGCUCUAGUCAUCAGUUUUAAUGAGAGCUGCUAAUAUCACCUCCAUCAGAAUGGUGGCCCUGGGUUGACUUUCUGGGCUGUGCACAGGUGCUCUCGGCCAAAAAUGUAAUGUAGGCUAUUACAUUAUCAAUGAGGCACAGAUGUGCUUUCUGUCUGAACUCAGGGGGGUAUUCUUGCCAAGUGCGUAACUCUUUCAGUGGGCCCAGGUCUGUUUGUAUCAAAACGCUGUUCUCGCUCAGUGAAGCUGAGAACUGCCUUCUGCUUCCCCAGGCCACGAGUUUAGAAAACAUAUCUAAGGAUGCAAGAAGCCUGGGCUCCCCAGAGGCAGGUGUAGGCUUUCUGAAGAGCACACAGUCCAGCCUGCAAGCUUUUGCCUUCUGAGAGAGAUCUCCAACCACCGCACAUUCAUGCUUUGACUCAUCAGGUUUUCCCUGGGCGCCUGCCCUGGGCCAGGGACUCUGAAGAAGUUGAAGAUGAACCUGACAAGGAUUCUGCCCCCAGGUGCUCUGGAAUGAUCUCUA